GAAAUGCGAUAAGUAAUGUGAAUUGCAGAAUUCCGUGAAUCAUCGAAUCUUUGAACGCACAUUGCGCCCUCUGGCAUUCCGGGGGGCAUGCCUGUCCGAGCGUCAUUACGCACCCUCAAGCCCGGCUUGUGUGAUGGGCCCUGGCGUCUCGUUCGCGAGACGGGCCCGAAAGGCAGCGGCGGCGUCGACCGGAUGAGCCCGAGCGUAUGGGGACUUUUGUCACACGUUUGCGGUGCGGACCGGCGCCUGCUUGACUUUUCUGAUUAUCCAGGUUGACCUCGGAUCAGGUAGGGAUACCCGCUGAACUUAAGC
rnacentral:misc_RNA from 1 species